GCACGCAUAGCUCAGUUGGUGAGAGCGUACGGUUCACAUCCGUAAGGUCCCUGGUUCAAAUCCAGGUGCGUGCA
rnacentral:tRNA from 1 species